UCCCAGGUAGUGAAAUGGCAUCACAACAGGUUCUGGCCCUGUUAUUUAAGGUUCGAAUCCUUACCUGGGAU
rnacentral:tRNA from 1 species